UUCUACCCAAAUUCCAGAUAGAGCAACUGUUACUUAUGUCCCUGUUCUUACCUAUGUGGAAGAGAGUGGAUCAACACCCCUUGACAUUUGUAGAAUUUGGGGAAAUAUUUCUCAGAUUUAGCUCAA